UCAGAGCAAAGAGCUCUUGAGCUCCAG
rnacentral:piRNA from 1 species